UACGGAGGGGGCUAGCGUUGUUCGGAAUUACUGGGCGUAAAGCGCACGUAGGCGGCUUUGUAAGUUAGAGGUGAAAGCCCGGGGCUCAACCCCGGAAUUGCCUUUAAGACUGCAUCGCUUGAAUCCGGGAGAGGUGAGUGGAAUUCCGAGUGUAGAGGUGAAAUUCGUAGAUAUUCGGAAGAACACCAGUGGCGAAAGGCGGCUCACUGGACCGGUAUUGACGCGUGAGGUGC
rnacentral:rRNA from 1 species